AUCCCUUCUCAGCCUUUUGGCUAAGAUCAAGUAUAGUAUCUGUUGUUAUCAGUUUAAUAUCUGAUGUGUCUUCUGUUAGAGAACAAUAUAUUAACUAGAUUUUUGAAAAGUGGAUUUCAAAUAGGAGUUUUCUCUGUCCACUCCACACAUCAACAUGGUAUUGCAGUACCUCCAGGAAUGGUGUGCCCUCU
ensembl:snRNA U2 U2 spliceosomal RNA